CUUGUCAGUCCACAGUGUUUUGUAAAUCGAAUCCGCCGCGGAAACACAUGCCACAAACACAAUCGAGUGCGAAAAUGACGAACGGUUGGAAAAAUGUAGAAUGCAGCCUAACAAAGAUCGCGACACGUCGUUGGAUCGAUCGUCACUGUGCAACUGGACCACCUUGGCUCCUGAAUGGAUACUGCACGAAGAUACUUCACUGAUACGGUUCACCGCCCGUCCGGACGGAUUAACUCCACUUAACGGGCCCCGGGAGCAAUCCAAGAAUAAAUCAAAUCAAUUUAAGCAAACGUGAAAAUAUAAAAAGGAAAACAA